rnacentral:rRNA from 1 species
GACGAACGCUGGCGGCGUGCUUAACACAUGCAAGUCGAACGGAAAGGCCCUGCUUUUGUGGGGUGCUCGAGUGGCGAACGGGUGAGUAACACGUGAGUAACCUGCCCUUGACUUUGGGAUAACUUCAGGAAACUGGGGCUAAUACCGGAUAGGAGCUCCUGCUGCAUGGUGGGGGUUGGAAAGUUUCGGCGGUUGGGGAUGGACUCGGGGCUUAUCAGCUUGUUGGUGGGGUAGUGGCUUACCAAGGCUUUGACGGGUAGCCGGCCUGAGAGGGUGACCGGCCACAUUGGGACUGAGAUACGGCCCGGACUCCUACGGGAGGCAGCAGUGGGGAAUAUUGCACAAUGGGCGGAGGCCUGAUGCAGCAACGCCGCGUGCGGGAUGACGGCCUUCGGGUUGUAAACCGCUUUCGCCUGUGACGAAGCGUGAGUGACGGUAAUGGGUAAAGAAGCACCGGCUAACUACGUG